UACGUAGGGGGCAAGCGUUGUCCGGAAUCAUUGGGCGUAAAGCGCGUGUAGGCGGUCCGGUAAGUCCGCUGUGAAAGUCGGGGGCUCAACCCUCGGAUGCCGGUGGAUACUGUCGGGCUUGAGUACGGAAGAGGCGAGUGGAAUUCCUGGUGUAGCGGUGAAAUGCGCAGAUAUCAGGAGGAACACCAAUUGCGAAGGCAGCUCGCUGGGACGUUACUGACGCUGAGACGCGAAAGCGUGGGGAGCGAACGGG
rnacentral:rRNA from 1 species